CCUACGGGUGGCAGCAGUGGGGAAUAUUGGGCAAUGGGCGCAAGCCUGACCCAGCAACGCCGCGUGAAGGAAGAAGGCUCUCGGGUUGUAAACUUCUUUUAUCAGGGACGAAGCAAGUGACGGUACCUGAUGAAUAAGCCACGGCUAACUACGUGCCAGCAGCCGCGGUAAUACGUAGGUGGCAAGCGUUAUCCGGAUUUACUGGGUGUAAAGGGCGUGUAGGCGGGAAAGCAAGUCAGAUGUGAAAACCAUGGGCUCAACCUGUGGCCUGCAUUUGAAACUGUUUUUCUUGAGUACUGGAGAGGCAGACGGAAUUCCUAGUGUAGCGGUGAAAUGCGUAGAUAUUAGGAGGAACACCAGUGGCGAAGGCGACUUUCUGGACUGUACCUGACGCUGAGGCGCGAAAGCGUGGGUAGCGAACGGGAUUAGAUACCCCGGUAGUC
rnacentral:rRNA from 1 species